rnacentral:rRNA from 1 species
CGGUUGAUCCUGCCGGAGGUUACUGCUAUCGGAGUUCGAUUAAGCCAUGCGAGUCUAAAGGUUUCUUCGGAAGCCUUGGCGGACUGCUCAGUAACACGUGGAUAACCUACCCUUGGGACUGGAAUAACCCCGGGAAACUGGGGAUAAUACCGGAUAGAUCAGGGAUGCUGGAAUGCACCUUGAUCCAAAGCUCCGGCGCCCAAGGAUGGGUCUGCGGCCUAUCAGGUUGUAGUGGGUGUAACGUACCUACUAGCCGACGACGGGUACGGGUUGUGAGAGCAAGAGCCCGGAGAUGGAUUCUGAGACACGAAUCCAGGCCCUACGGGGUGCAGCAGGCGCGAAACCUUUACAAUGUGCGAAAGCAUGAUAAGGGAACUCCGAGUGCCAGUAUCUAAUACUGGCUGUCCUUGUGCCUAAACCGCACAAGAUAGCAAGGGCCGGGUAAGACCGGUGCCAGCCGCCGCGGUAACACCGGCGGCCCGAGUGGUAGCCGCUAUUAUUGGGUCUAAAGGGUCCGUAGCCGGUUCGAUAAGUCCUCUGGGAAAUCUGGUUGCUUAACAAUCAGACUGCCAAGGGAUACUGUUGAACUUGAGACCGGGAGAGGUAAGAGGUACUUCANGGGUAGGAGUGAAAUCUUGUAAUCCCUGGGGGACCAUCUGUGGCGAANGCGUCUUACCAGAACGGGUCUGACGGUGAGGGACGAAAGCUGGGGGCGCAAACCGGAUUAGAUACCCGGGUAGUCCCAGCCGUNNACGAUGCUCGCUAUGUGUCNNUACGGUGUGACCGUAUCUGGUGCCGUANGGAAGCCGUGAAGCGAGCCACCUGGGAAGUACGGUCGCAAGACUGAAACUUAAAGGAAUUGGCGGGGGAGCAC